rnacentral:rRNA from 1 species
UACGUAGGGGGCAAGCGUUGUCCGGAUUCAUUGGGCGUAAAGAGCGUGUAGGCGGCCAGGUAGGUCGGUUGUGAAAACUGGAGGCUCAACCUUCAGACGUCGACCGAAACCAUCUGGCUAGAGUCCGGGAGAGGAGAGUGGAAUUCCUGGUGUAGCGGUGAAAUGCGCAGAUAUCAGGAAGAACACCCGUGGCGAAAGCGGCUCUCUGGAACGGUACUGACGCUGAGACGCGAAAGCGUGGGGAGCGAAC